AUUGAACGCUGGCGGCAGGCCUAACACAUGCAAGUCGAACGAGUGGCGGACGGGUGAGUAAUGUCUGGGAAACUGCCUGAUGGAGGGGGAUACCUACUGGAAACGGUAGCUAAUACCGCAUACCAUCGGAUGUGCCCAGAUGGGAUUAGCUAGUAGGGGGGGUAACGGCUCACCUAGGCGUCGAUCCCUAGCUGGUCUGCGAGGAUGACCGGCCACACUGGAACUGAGAAACGGUACAGAAGCCUACGGGAGGCAGUAGUGGGGAAUAUUGCACAAUGGGCGAAAGCCGGAUGCAGCCAUGCCGCGUGUGUGAAGAAGGCCUGCGGGUUGUAAAGCACUUUCAGCGGGGAGGCGUUACCCGCAGAAGAAGCACCGGCUAACUCCGUGCCAGCAGCCGCGGUAAUAC
rnacentral:rRNA from 1 species